UACGAAGGGGGCUAGCGUUGCUCGGAAUCACUGGGCGUAAAGCGCGCGUAGGCGGCUUCGCAAGUCGGCCGUGAAAUCUCCGGGCUCAACUCGGAGGGGUCGGGCGAGACUGCGAGGCUCGAGGUGGGCAGAGGGCAGUGGAAUUCCGGGUGUAGUGGUGGAAUGCGUAGAUAUCUGGAGGAACACCGGUGGCGAAGGCGGCAUCCUGGACCGGUAUUGACGCUGAGGCGCGAAAGCUAGGGGAGCAAACGGG
rnacentral:rRNA from 1 species